AGCUUGCUCCCUGAUGUUAGCGGCGGACGGGUGAGUAACACGUGGGUAACCUGCCUGUAAGACUGGGAUAACUCCGGGAAACCGGGGCUAAUACCGGAUGGUUGUUUGAACCGCAUGGUUCAAACAUAAAAGGUGGCUUCGGCUACCACUUACAGAUGGACCCGCGGCGCAUUAGCUAGUUGGUGAGGUAACGGCUCACCAAGGCAACGAUGCGUAGCCGACCUGAGAGGGUGAUCGGCCACACUGGGACUGAGACACGGCCCAGACUCCUACGGGAGGCAGCAGUAGGGAAUCUUCCGCAAUGG
rnacentral:rRNA from 1 species